GGGGCUAGGUGGGGCGGGGCUAGGCCGCCGGUGCUAACCAUGGCGGCGCGGCUGCGGGCGGGCGCUGCCCGGCGCCGUCGCGGGCCGAUGACGCGGGCGGUCGGUGCGGCGUUUCCCGGUGUCGCUGUUCCCGGUGCGAUGGGAUUGCGCGCCCCGCGCUGAUGGCGGCCCGCCGGACACCGCACGGCUCCGCGCCGGAGCCCAGGGUGGAUGAGUUCACCGUCCCCGCCGAGAAGAGCUGCCUCCUGGAGCGCAGCCGCGACCGCAUCGAGGGCUUGUUCGAGGUGCGGCUGGCCGUGCUGGGGGCGCAGGGGGACUGGCGGCGCGCGCUGCAGCCGCCCAACGCCAGCGCCAGGAUCUGGGUGCAGCUGGCGGGCUGCACGAAGGCCGUGAGCAGCGCCAAGGAGUACAUCAAGGGAGUGUGUGAACCUGAGCUAGAAGAAAAGGAGUACUACCCAAAGGACAUGCACUGCAUCUUUGUUGGUGCACAGAGCCUGUUUCUCAACAGUCUUAUUCAGGAUACCUGUGCUGACGUAACAGUGCUGGAAAUGGGAUUGCUCAGUAUUAAGGGGGGUGCAGAAGCUGUUGUUAUGGCUCAAAGUCAUGUGCAGCAGUUUGUGACGCUUUUUGAGAAUAAUGAAAGCUUAUUAAAUGACAAUGAAUCAGAGAUUAAAAAGCAGUUCAGACAAUUUGUGGAAGCACAUGCAGAUAAGUAUACAAUGGAUUUACUGAUUUUGCCUAGUGCACUAAAAAGAGAGCUCCUAGCUCUCACCCACGCUGCUGUUUCUGGAGGGAAGAUUGACAUCAUAGAUCUCACAGGCUCUGAAAGCCCACAGCAGCUUGGACAGAACAGCACCUCCAAAGUCAUUGCUGCAAACAGAGAAGGAGGGGCAGAUGGGGAGGAAGCAAGAAGCAGUGCUGGCACACCUGUAACUGAGCUUACAAAGCAAAUAGACACUGUGUUUUCUGAUGCUUCUGAAACAAGAUUUGUUCCCAUAAAGGACCCUCUGUUAGAAGCAGUGGCCUUUAAAGAGAGGCAGUCAUGUAAAAGAAGGUCCUCUGAUGAGGAGGAAAGGCUCCCUAAAAAGCAUUUAUCUUUGGAAAAUGAUCAACAAGUGAAAUCUACUUUACACAAGAAUCCUUCGGACCCUGAUGCAGUUAUUGAUCUGGUUUUGGAUAGCUGCAAUGAAUCAGAUGGUCCUACUUACUGCCUUAAAGAAGGUGAUGCUCUCACUGAGGAAAUGGAAUAUAAGAUUCUUGUGAACUUUUUCAGAACAAUGGGAUAUUCCCAAAAUAUUGUAGAAAAGGUUAUCGGUAUCCUUGGACAAUCUGUGGAACCAUUAAUAUUGCUAGAAGAAAUUGAAAAGGAAAAUUUGAAGUUUAAAAAAGAGCAUGAACAGUCGUCUCAAAAGCCUAGAACUGUCAGUCUUCCUUUAGGAAAUAAUGUAAGUAACUCACAAAAGCUAGAAGACAAAGGCAUUUCUAGGAAUAAAAGUCCACUUAAAUCCAGUCAUACUUCAAAGGAGGCAAAAAAUGAGUAUCACCAAGUAAGAGAUGAUCCAGACACACAAGUUGAUGCAGAAGAUAAAAAGCAUAGAUUGGUAUGCAAAUCUUCUUCCCCUCCCAGCAAAAAUUCAGUUCUGGGCUAUAAACAGAGAGAUGUUUAUGGCCCUGGUAAGAAUCACAACUCAAGGUCAAGCAAUAUAGAAACUGAUGGUGGGGUAACUUUCAGCACUGUGCACGCUGGAGCUCUGAAAGAUGUUGGCUUUGUAGCCAGAGGGAGCUCAGAUGUGCAGCAUAUCUCAAGUAAGAGUAAAACUGCAUUUCAGCAAAAAUCUGCAGGGCCCUCAACAGUACAGAACAGCCAGCCUGGUUCUGAGGAGCAGCUGGGACACUGCAGCUCUUCUCAAGCAAGGCCUCUCCACCAACGCCUCUCCCAGGCCUCACAUUGUGACAAUCCUGUCCCAGACCGGUUGCUGUCUUCACAAAAAAACCCUUCAAAUCCAGACAGAGACACAGUGGGACCACAUCCAGAUCAUUCAGUUACUGGAGUUCAAAGAUUUUUGGACUCUCUGAAGAAGCCAUACAAACUGGAGUUGAUAAAUGAACCUGGAAAACCAUAUUUAAAACAUAUUAUUAUUGAUGGAAGCAAUGUUGCAAUUUCUCAUGGUCUAAGGAAAUUCUUCUCCUGCAGAGGAAUUGCAAUAGCUGUUGAAUACUUUUGGAAACGUGGCCACAGGAAUAUUACUGUGUUUGUUCCACAGUGGAGAACAAGACGUGACCCUUCCAUUACAGAGCAGAAUUUCUUAACGCAGCUCGAGGAUGUUGGAAUAUUGUCUUUAACCCCUGCAAGGAUGGUUUUAGGAGCAAGAAUUGCAGCUCAUGAUGACAGAUUUUUAUUACACCUUGCUGCUAAAACUGGAGGUGUUAUUGUGACUAAUGAUAACUUCAGAGAAUUUGUGACAGAGUCACUUGCCUGGAGAGAAAUUAUUCAAAAAAGGUUGCUCCAGUACACUUUUGCUGGUGACAUAUUUAUGGUUCCUGAUGAUCCUUUGGGAAGAAAUGGACCCAGAUUAGAUGACUUCCUUCGAAGUGAAGGCUGUUCUAGUUCGUUCAGAAACUUCUGGUGACAUUUGCCUCUGAGAUCUCUCUGAGAACUGAGAUAAGUAUGACAAAAGCUUCUUCUGAGAUUUGGCUGUGGUGGCUUUCAUGCACGGGUGUGUUAACAGCACCCAGAGGUGCCAGAGAUGUGGGUAUCUGUUGUUAAUUACACUGAUGUUAUCUAAGACACCUUGGUUGGUCACUCCUUCAUAGUGGGACAAUAGGUGCUACAAACACCCUGCACUCAGGUUACAGGAGAGACACUUCACCUCAUGGUUGAGGGUACCUUACUGUUGCCAAAACAAUUUUGGAGGCAUUGUUAUUAAAUAUGUUUGUAUUAGAGUAAUAUAAUUGUAAUAAUUAUUGUCAUUAUAAAUAUUAAUGAACAUAAAUUGUUCAUUUAAGAUCAAUGUACUUUUUAAAUGUGCACAUAUUUAAAGUAUGAAUUUGCUUUGCAUGAACUGCCAAGAUUUGAGGGUUAGUUUGCUCUUUUGAACAAGAAAAUAAUAUUCUGUUCUUUCACCAGUUUAGGAAUUAGAAAUGCUAACAAUUCUGAGGAGUAUUGAGAGGGCUUUUAAAAACAAGGGAGGUAACUUAAAAAUUUUCAAUAGAAAAGGGAAGCUAUUCUUAAGGAUUAAUACAAAGAAUAAGCAAGAAUCUCAUCUGUUGUAGGUAUUUGAGGAAAGUAGAACAUUUUUAUACCAUAGAUUACAAGCUGAUUUGAAAAUAAGCGUGUUGACAUUAAAAAAGCAAGUGCAGUGCUAGAACUCCAGAAGAAAAUGCUGAAUAUUCAAGCUCUUGUACAAAACCUUUGAGAUGUUAUUUGGAACACUGUGUUUUACCUGCCUGUAUUUGAGAGAAAUAAAAUGAAAACUGAGCGUUCUGAGAGAUUCCUGGUCAACACACAAGGCUUUACAGAGCAGUGGACAAUAUUCUUCUGAGACACCCUCUUUCCUCCCCAAUGUGAGCAGUAGCUGUCGACAGCCUGGGGGCAGAGUGCUCUAUGAUCAUUCACUGGAA